rnacentral:lncRNA from 1 species
CUCCGACCGCGGCGGCGGCAUUCGGUGGCCGCGCGCGGUCACGAUGAGUCGCACCCGCUCGCCCCCCUCGCGGCCCCCCCGUCCACGACCCCGCUGAAACCGGCGAGGAAAUACUUCGCGAGGAAACCGCCGAAUCGGGAAACCCGCCCCGCAAAUUUCCGGUUUUUUCCCCGGUGCGUUUUUGUCUAAUUUUUCACCGAGUUUUGUUUUGAGGUUUUGUCCACGUGGUGUGAGUGAUCGGAUUUUUGGGCGCUUUCGCGCCGAAUUUCGUCUUUUACACGUGUGAUUGACUCGCUUCGGUGGUGGUUUAUACAUUCAUUUGGACGUUUAAAGGCGGGAGGUGAAGAUGCUGUGGAGGUAUCGGCUGGUCACUUGAGCCGCGUCCCAGGCUGACGCAGCCAUGGUGCGCCACGGAGAAUGUAUGUCAUUUUCCCGGCCGAAGACUUAGUGGAACUAACUUUAACUAGGCCUCCGGUAUACCUCUCUCCGACCGCAGCUCAGCAGCGAGGAGCUGAAGCGGCGUCUCCGAAGCCCCUCCCCCGUCCACCACCGGCGAGCAAAGCCGAGAAAUCGCGCCCCGUCGAGAAAGCCCGAGCGGGCAAGAAAGUUAAAGUGAAAAAAUCCAAGUGGGAUAAGGACAACGAGGAGGAGGACUCUGCGAAGAUGGCAACAGGUUCGGGCGAGGGAUCCCUCCGCGAUCUGUCCCAUCCAUCACUGAACGAGCCGCUUCGGGCUCACAACGCUGCCACCUUCAAGCUAGUUAGAACAGGUGAGCCCCCCCAUUCCACCCCCUCUUUACCCUGCUCUUUGAUUGAUUUCCGCCCCGAAAGAAUGGAACCUCCGCCACAGGCCCUGCUCGGAGUCGUUCCUUAAACAGCUCAUUUCCUGGAGCCUGGAUUCAGGAUCGUUCCUUAACCGUGGUAUUACAGACUCGGAUUGUUGGGCGCCUUACGGUGCUGAACAGUGCUGCCAUUUUACUCUACCAUAGAUUCCUGGCAUUAAUUCCGAUUUGUUAAGGUUACGAGGAAAAUUCUGAUUUUUUCAAAGUUCUGGGAAAAAUUCCAAAGUACGCCCGGAUUUUUUUUUUUUUUUUUUUUUUGCAGGUUAUUUGGCUUCUAUUCCAGUUUUAGGAAUCUACAGCCAUCUAUAGACAAGAGUUUUUUUAAUGCAGAGAUUAUUUUUUAUUGUCAGUAGACAUCAGGGGAUUUUUGGCGCAUCCAUGCUUCGGCUUUCAAAUUUUCAGGGAUUAAGGCCGAGUAGAAUCCGUUUCUGCAGAUUCACUCGUCAGUUCCGUGAAAACUUGUCGCCACUACCGGGAUUCAAACCCGGGACCUAUUGACCUAGAGUCAGACGCGCUGACCACUAGGCCAACCUGUACGCCCGGAUUUAGUUCCGAAGAUCGUCAAAUUCGAUAGAAAAAUCGGUCACACCGACGGAAAAUCCCAAAAUUCUUAGCAAAUGCCGAGAAAUUCCGGACUAGGAAUUUCGAGGUUUCCGAGAAAAUUUUUUAAAAGUUCUGAAAGUCGGAAUUAUUUCCGGGAAAUGGCAGCACUGGCUGUUUAAGAUGGAUUUUCAGAUUUUGUGCAAUGCAUCCUGGGUGCAAUCGAUAUACAGGGCGAUCCGAAAGUCCUGCACCUCCCCUUGAGUUCUUGCCUCCUUUCAGUGUGGUCCCUUUAAAAUUUUGGGACCCUCAAAAAUCGUC